rnacentral:rRNA from 1 species
GUCGUAGUACUCGAGUAGUUGACUCGUGCCAGAGUGAACGCUGGCGGUAGGCCUAACACAUGCAAGUCGAACGGCAGCACAGUAAGAGCUUGCUCUUAUGGGUGGCGAGUGGCGGACGGGUGAGGAAUACAUCGGAAUCUACCUUUUCGUGGGGGAUAACGUAGGGAAACUUACGCUAAUACCGCAUACGACCUUCGGGUGAAAGCAGGGGACCUUCGGGCCUUGCGCGGAUAGAUGAGCCGAUGUCGGAUUAGCUAGUUGGCGGGGUAAAGGCCCACCAAGGCGACGAUCCGUAGCUGGUCUGAGAGGAUGAUCAGCCACACUGGAACUGAGACACGGUCCAG